UAGGAAGAGUACUGCCUUAGAUACCCCACAUCCUGGUGAUGAGUAUAUUCAUCAAACACUGAUGGUCAGAUCUCCUGAGGCAAAGGUAGGGUCUGAAUCUGUGCCUCCUACAGCCCAGGUAAGUGCCAUACCCACCUAGUCAGCAUUUAAAACUGGGACUUUCACAUCUCUGCUCCUGUUAAAAAGCAAGCCUAAUGUUCACCACUUUUUUUUUUUUCCAGAAAAAAAAAGAGCACAGCGCUCAACUCUGAGAAAGGGUUCAGAGUUGCUAAGACACAGAAGCCUGUUUCAUAAGCAGCUCCUGAUUGCCAGCUUAGGUGCCUGCUUGCAAUUUUCCCAUCCCUGUGACUUCCAGGGAUGCAGCCUAGUGGGGCCAUGCACAGCAUGGGCUUGAUAAUUCCACCAGACUGCUCUGCUAGUCCCACGUGCUGCAGCAUCUCAUUUUCAUUUGUCAAGCUUGUUUUCAGUGUGCCCUCAGCCUUAAAAUGGUUGCUACGGAGUGAUGCUUUUUGCUUGGGAAAACAAAAAGAGGAAUGUGAAAAAAACUGGGCAAAUACUUAGGGGCAGGCAUUAUUACAUCUAUGCCUUUGUUGCCUUGCUUAGGAAAUGGCAGCAAUAAUUCCCUUUGCUGCUUUAUGACUUAAAAGCCAGAGUAAAUUGCUAGCAAAUGUUCUGACAUGAUUGCUAGUAAACUACUUGUAUCCUCAACCAACCAGGAGCUGCUCAUGAACAAAGAAAGAAAUGGAGAAAGACAAACUCACUCUAACAUAGAAGUUCACUCUUUCAUAGAGGAAUUAAAACACAGCAUGGCUCAAGUGCAUGGGUGACAAAUUCCUUCAGGACCACUGAGAUUCAGGUAUGCUCACCAGCAUCCUGCUAAGAGCCUCCGGAGCGAUCCCUCACUGCGGGAAGAAGUGACUUCCCCUCGUCGCUUCUAGGUGACCACAUCCCCAGUUGCCUAGUGGGGCUGUGCCAGCCUUCAGCAUGAAAUGUCUUUUUAACCAGGUGCUUUAAGUCCAUCUGAGUUAAAGCAAAAUCCAAGUGGAUUUAUUUACAGCAUCCAAAACAGACACCACUGUAACAAAGGGGUUUAAGGCACAACAAAGAAGCCUAUGCUCAGCCUGCUUAUAAGGAAAAUUAUGAAAGGUUCUUUUUACUCCAUAUCCUACUCAUUUGCUGUGGGUGCUCUCCUGACAUGUCAGGGACACUGUUUCCCUGUGUACCAUGUGUCACAGACUGCACUUGUUAGAGAAAAACCUCUCCUCCACACCAAUGUCUACAACUACUGUCCUUUCCAGGGGCUCUGAGUAGAUUUAAUUUUUCCUCUUGAAAUUUUCUUUCUUUCCAUCUGAAACUUACUUCCUUCUAACUUACUCAGCAGAUGAUCUUGACACUUCUCCAGUUAAAUUAAGAAAGUCUCACUUCUAUGGAGAUGCAAAUGUCACUUUGUCAGAGCAGCUGUCAUCCCCUGUACUUUACUAGCCAAGAAGCACCUUCUUGACUGAGUGCCACUUUACCUGCUGAACCUCUCCUUCCCUGCUAUGAUGAGUCAAUUGCUUUUAAUACAAAGGUGUCUCCAGGCACUAAAGUUUGUAUUUAAAAUCAGCUAGAACAUUCAUAAACACCCUUGGCACAAACAUCCAAUGCAACAAGUGAACACAGUCAUUAUCAUCUCUUGAAUGAGAUGGUAAUGCUGGGCUUAAGGCAACUGAAGGAGACAGGGAGAAAAAGCUUUCUUCCCAACAUGCCAUGAAAAUAUCACAAAGCAUUGACAACAGAACAGCCUUUGGCACCUGUAACAGAUACUUUCCUGGAAAAUGUCAUAUUUUCAAUACACAUUAACUCUCUGUGGAACAAGAGGCAAAUAUAAAUAGCAGUUGAAGGGAAAAGUCCAAGCUAUUUUGCAUGUACUUUUGAAUAAGGGUCAAUUUUAUUUCAAGCUCCUGGGAUGACCUUUAAGGUUUUCUUUAAGGCUUUCUAUAUGUUUCGGGACAGUAUGACAAGGAAAUGACAGGGGAGCUGACAGCUCUAUUAACUGCAGGAAAAGGAUGGGCGAGAGCUGUGUUGAAUCACCUCUGGAUAACAAGCUGGAUUUCAGAAUGCAGCCCCAAUUCUUGCAGGACAAAUCACGAUGUGACAGGAAGAAUUAGAAAGGCACCUCUCAGGAGCACAUACGUUCCAGUUCCAUACCUUCUACAUGCUGGCCUGGAAGCUCAGCUUUACAAAGCACAUGAACCUUUGACCAGGGGAAUUUCAGAUAAACUGCAACAACUGAAAACUUUGCAAAGCAAAAGCCCUCCUGCAUUCCAGGAGGUGAGAAAGUGUUCAGCACUAACACCUACACAAGUGAUGAUCACCAGGAGGUUGGACUCAUUUGCAGUGACUUCUGCUCAUGGACCUUUUGGAUGCCUGAGUUGAACAAGGAUGUUGCAAAUUAGAACCUGCUCACAACUUUGUCAAUGGAUUAGGACAAAACAAGAAGUGCACAUUUUAAGAAGACUGGAUAUUAUAUUAAUGACAAGUCCACGAGAGUAUGAACAAGCUGCUGCAGUUUAAUAAAAAGCAGAAUUUCCUAGACUCGCAUAAACUAAUAGCUCAUUGACUAAAAUAGACCUGCUGUCUCUGUUUGCUGUAGAAGCCCAGCUGCUCUGCUGAUCUCAACAAAAGAACAAUUGCAGCUACAAUAAAAACCCUGGGAUCUUGAAAAACAUGGGACGAUAUCAGCUGUUAAACAGGAUAGAAAUAACACAGCAGUGAAACUAAUAAAUAAAUACAAACAGGUUUAAGGUGUUCUCUUCAGAAACACUGUCCUAUGGGUUAUAGAUCUGAAGAUUAGCUUUUAACAGUUCUGACAUACAAGGAACCCAUGCAAGCACUUACACAUCUCCCCUGUGUAAGUGCUUCAGUUCUUGUUCCUGGCUACAUAAAUCACAGGCAGGGUAAACGCAUUACGAGUAAAGAGAAGGAAAUAAUAUGAUCUCCUAGCAGAGAGAGCAACAGCUUUUCACUUACGUGCCAAAAUGCCACACAACUAUUAGUAUGGAACAAGAUAUGACUUCUUUUAGAAACAGUCUAUAGCAAAUUCACAUUUUAUCUACUAAAUCCUUGGCUUCUUACAGUCUUUUAGCACGUUUCUCCUAAUAACAUCCCUCUCAAGACUAGACCGUGCUUUUCUGCUUUUCUCCCAUUU